rnacentral:rRNA from 1 species
AUGGUACCUCAAAAGUAAGCCCCGGCUAACUACGUGCCAGCAGCCGCGGUAAUACGUAGGGGGCAAACGUUGUCCGGAUUUACUGGGUGUAAAGGGUGCUCAGGCGGUUUUGUAAGUCAGAAGUGAAAUCCUAGGGCUUAACUCUGGAACUGCUUUUGAUACUGCAAGGCUUGAAUGUGGAAGAGGAGGAUGGAAUUUCUGGUGUAGCAGUGAAAUGCGUAGAUAUCAGAAAGAACACCAGUGGCGAAGGCGGUCCUCUGGUCCACUAUUGACGCUAAAGCACGAAAGCGUGGGGAGCAAACAGGAUUAGAUACCCUGGUAGUCCACGCCUUAAACGAUGAAUACUAGACGUUGGGGUUAAACUCAGUGUCGCAGCUAACGCAUUAAGUAUUCCACCUGGGGAGUACGAUCGCAAGGUUGAAACUCAAAGGAAUUGACGGGGGCCCGCACAAGCAGUGGAGCAUGUGGUUCAAUUCGAUGCAACGCGAAGAACCUUACCUAGGCUUGACAUGCUAGCUAAAGCCGGUGAAAGCCGGUGUCCAGCAAU